AGUGAACGCUGGCGAUAGGCCUAACACAUGCAAGUCGAACGGCAGCACAGUAAGAGCUUGCUCUUACGGGUGGCGAGUGGCGGACGGGUGAGGAAUACAUCGGAAUCUACUUUUUCGUGGGGGAUAACGUAAGGAAACUUACGCUAAUACCGCAUACGACCUACGGGUGAAAGCAGGGGAUCUUCGGGCCUUGCGCGAUUGAAUGAGCCGAUGUCGGAUUAGCUAGUUGGCGGGGUAAAGGCCCACCAAGGCGACGAUCCGUAGCUGGUCUGAGAGGAUGAUCAGCCACACUGGAACUGAGACACGGUCCAGACUCCUACGGGAGGCAGCAGUGGGGAAUAUUGGACAAUGGGCGCAAGCCUGAUCCAGCCAUACCGCGUGGGUGAAGAAGGCCUUCGGGUUGUAAAGCCCUUUUGUUGGGAAAGAAAAGCAGCAGGUUAAUACCCCGCUGUUCUGACGGUACCCAAAGAAUAAGCACCGGCUAACUUCGUG
rnacentral:rRNA from 1 species